rnacentral:rRNA from 1 species
GACGAACGCUGGCGGCGUGCUUAACACAUGCAAGUCGAACGGAAAGGCCCUGCUUUUGUGGGGUGCUCGAGUGGCGAACGGGUGAGUAACACGUGAGUAACCUGCCCUUGACUUUGGGAUAACUUCAGGAAACUGGGGCUAAUACCGGAUAGGAGCUCCUGCUGCAUGGUGGGGGUUGGAAAGUUUCGGCGGUUGGUGAUGGACUCGCGGCGCAUCGGCUUGUUGGGUGGGUAGUGUCUUACCAAGGCAUUGACGCGUAGCCGACCUGAGAGGAGGAGCGGCCCAGUUAGAACGGAGAUGAGACACAGACUAGAAUGGGAGGGGGGGGAGGGGUGUAGUGUACAAUGGGCGGAGGGCUGGUGUGGCCACGCCGCGUGCGGUAUGACGGGCAGGGCGUUGUGAACCGAUUUUGCCUGUGACGAGACGUUAGUGACGGUAAUGGGUAAAGAAGCACCGGCUAACUACGUG